GCGGGGGUGCCGGAGUGGCCAAACGGGCCAGGCUUAGGACCUGGUGGCUCAGGCCUACGCAGGUUCGAAUCCUGUCCCCCGCA
rnacentral:tRNA from 1 species